GGGGACGUAGCUCAGUUGGUAGAGCAUCCGGUUUGCAUCCGGAAGGUCAGGGGUUCGAAUCCCCUCGUCUCCACCA
rnacentral:tRNA from 1 species